rnacentral:ncRNA from 1 species
UACAUCUGGGGUGCCCACUUGGCUGAGAUAUACCCAUUGAACCUGCUCUGGUUAAUACCAGCGAAGGGAGAUAAC